rfam:Canis lupus familiaris chromosome 2, whole genome shotgun sequence.
AUCAUUUUGUAUGUCAUAAGCACUAUGAGUGUGCAUGCCAUGGCCUGAUGUGCGUCUCCCUCAAACCUUAUGACCUUGGCACAUUAUCCAACUAACA